AUUGAACGCUGGCGGCAUGCCUUACACAUGCAAGUCGAACGGCAGCACGGGAGCAAUCCUGGUGGCGAGUGGCGAACGGGUGAGUAAAGUAUCGGAACGUGCCCAGUCGUGGGGGAUAACGUAGCGAAAGUUACGCUAAUACCGCAUACGAUCUAUGGAUGAAAGCGGGGGAUCGCAAGACCUCGCGCGAUUGGAGCGGCCGAUAUCAGAUUAGGUAGUUGGUGGGGUAAAGGCCCACCAAGCCGACGAUCUGUAGCUGGUCUGAGAGGACGACCAGCCCCACUGGGACUGAGACACGGCCCAGACUCCUACGGGAGGCAGCAGUGGGGAAUUUUGGACAAUGGGCGAAAGCCUGAUCCAGCCAUGCCGCGUGCAGGAUGAAGGCCUUCGGGUUGUAAACUGCUUUUGUACGGAACGAAAAGGACUGCCCUAAUACGGUGGUCCCAUGACGGUACCGUAAGAAUAAGCACCGGCUAACUACGUGCCAGCCGCCGCCGUAACAC
rnacentral:rRNA from 1 species